rnacentral:rRNA from 1 species
UGGGGAAUUGUUCGCAAUGGGCGCAAGCCUGACGACGCAACGCCGCGUGGAGGAUGAAGGUCUUCGGAUUGUAAACUCCUGUUGCCCGGGACGAAUAGCUUCGACCUAAUACGUCGGAGUAUGACGGUACCGGGUGAGGAAGCCCCGGCUAACUACGUGCCAGCAGCCGCGGUAAUACGUAGGGACCAAGCGUUGUUCGGAUUUACUGGGCGUAAAGGGCGCGUAGGCGGCGUGGUAAGUCACUUGUGAAAUCUCCGAGCUUAACUCGGAACGGUCAAGUGAUACUGCUGUGCUAGAGUACAGAAGGGGCAAUCGGAAUUCUUGGUGUAGCGGUGAAAUGCGUAGAUAUCAAGAGGAACACCUGAGGUGAAGACGGGUUGCUGGGCCGAUACUGACGCUGAGGCGCGAAAGCUAGGGUAGCAAACGGGAUUAGAUACCCUUGUAGUCCCUGAGCGGGCUGGCAAGGCGCAU